UAACUUGUUGGUGAGGUAGUGGCUCACCAAGGCGACGACGGGUAGCCGGCCUGAGAGGGCGACCGGCCACACUGGGACUGAGACACGGCCCAGACUCCUACGGGAGGCAGCAGUGGGGAAUAUUGCACAAUGGGCGAAAGCCUGAUGCAGCGACGCCGCGUGAGGGAUGACGGCCUUCGGGUUGUAAACCUCUUUCAGCAGGGAAGAAGCGAAAGUGACGGUACCUGCAGAAGAAGCGCCGGCUAACUACGUGCCAGCAGCCGCGGUAAUACGUAGGGCGCAAGCGUUGUCCGGAAUUAUUGGGCGUAAAGAGCUCGUAGGCGGCUUGUCACGUCGGUUGUGAAAGCCCGGGGCUUAACCCCGGGUCUGCAUUCGAUACGGGCAAGCUAGAGUUCGGUAGGGGAGAUCGGAAUUCCUGGUGUAGCGGUGAAAUGCGCAGAUAUCAGGAGGAACACCGGUGGCGAAGGCGGAUCUCUGGGCCGUUACUGACGCUGAGGAGCGAAAGCGUGGGGAGCGAACAGGAUUAGAUACCCUGGUAGUCCACGCCGUAAACGGUGGGAACUAGGUGUGGGCGACAUUCCA
rnacentral:rRNA from 1 species